AUCAUCAGGCCCUCUUCACUGUCAUGGAAAUUUUAAGAGCCUUGUCUUCUUAUUUGGAGUUUCUCCUAUAUGUGCAUCAUUGCAUACAAUUAUGUAAGUUGUUCCCUGCAUAAGGGCAUUGCACAGAGAAGGUCUCCCUUCAGAGUUCCAGCCACAUAUUCCCCUUCUCAGCGGGAACCUGCCUAUGCUGUCUCACAGACACCAACGCUGAACUGGUGGUCUCUCCCACACAUUUACUCCUUUCCCAAAUAUUCACCAUUUUUCACCACAGUUUUGAUUACUACUUGUAUAUACAUGCAGACCUGCAUACAUGUGUUCUUAUGUGAGGAAAUAUAUAAAAAUGUUUAUAUAUGUGUGUGUUUACACAUAUAAGGCAGAAGCCUUAGCAUUUUAUUUUGUGCUGUAUCUCUAGUGCCUGCAGUAGUGGCUGAUGUAAAACAGAUACUCAAUAAAUAUUUGUCAAAUGGACAAAUUUCCUGCUGGAACAAUA